rnacentral:rRNA from 1 species
AUACGUAGGGGGCAAGCGUUAUCCGGAUUUACUGGGUGUAAAGGGAGCGUAGACGGAACGGCAAGUUUGAAGUGAAAUACCCGGGCUUAACCCGGGAACUGCUUUGAAAACUGUCGAUCUAGAGUGUCGGAGAGGUAAGUGGAAUUCCUGGUGUAGUAGUGAAAUGCGUAGAUAUCAGGAAGAACACCGGAGGCGAAGGCGGCUUACUGGACGAUAACUGACGUUGAGGCUCGAAAGCGUGGGGAGC